CUUUUUUUCUUUUCCUCAGACACUAAACAAGAUGUGCAAGGCCGCCUGCCAUUCAUUUUCCAGGUUGUGCUGAAAGCUACUUGGCUGAACUGCAGUCGACACACCUUUAGAAUCAAAGCAGAUCUGAAAGAUGAUCUGAGGAUGUUAUCAGCUGAUAAGUCUUGCUUUUUGUGCUGGACGAGAACGGGACCAAAAAGAUCCUCCAAGGAUACUUGCUGCAGGACUGCAUGUUUG